rnacentral:rRNA from 1 species
GAUGAACGCUGGCGGUAUGCCUUACACAUGCAAGUCGUACGAGAGUUUUUAACUCAAGUGGCGGACGGGUGAGUAACACGUAAGAAUUUGCCUUUAGGAGGGGGACAACAACUGGAAACGGUUGCUAAUACCCCAUAUGCUUUCGAGUGAAAUGGAUUUAUCCGCCUAGAGAGAAGCUUGCGGCUGAUUAGCUUGUUGGUAGGGUAACGGCCUACCAAGGCGACGAUCAGUAUCUGGUUUGAGAGGACGAUCAGACACACUGGAACUGAGACACGGUCCAGACUCCUACGGGAGGCAGCAGUGGGGAAUUUUCCGCAAUGGGCGAAAGCCUGACGGAGCAAUACCGCGUGAGGGAUGACGGCCUAUGGGUUGUAAACCUCUUUUUUCAGGGA